CCGGCACGGGUGAGUAACACGUAUCCAACCUGCCGUCUACUCUUGGACAGUCUUCUGAAAGGAAGAUUAAUACAAGAUGGCAUCAUGAGUCCGCAUGUUCACAUGAUUAAAGGUAUUCCGGUAGACGAUGGGGAUGCGUUCCAUUAGAUAGUAGGCGGGGUAACGGCCCACCUAGUCUUCGAUGGAUAGGGGUUCUGAGAGGAAGGUCCCCCACAUUGGAACUGAGACACGGUCCAA
rnacentral:rRNA from 1 species